rnacentral:sRNA from 1 species
GAAUAUCCGCCAUAGACAGCCGGUGCCCUUAGGGGCUUAAUAUCCUGCCGAGGUGAAGUUAAAUGAGUUUAUUUAGAUUAAAUAUGCUUUAUUUCAUCCCCCUGUCCUAUGGUCGGGGGAUAUUUGUUUGA